UACGGUGGAUGCAAGCGUUAUCCGGAAUGAUUGGGCGUAAAGCGUCUGUAGGUGGCUUAACAAGUCUUCUGUCAAAGAUCAGGGCUUAACCCUGGACCGGCAGGAGAAACUCUUAGGCUAGAGUUUGGUAGAGGCAGAGGGAAUUCCCGGUGGAGCGGUGAAAUGCGUAGAGAUCGGGAGGAACACCAAAGGCGAAAGCACUCUGCUGGGCCACAACUGACACUGAGAGACGAAAGCUAGGGGAGCGAAUGGG
rnacentral:rRNA from 1 species